GCAUAUCAAUAAGCGGAGGAAAAGAAACCAACAGGGAUUGCCCUAGUAACGGCGAGUGAAGCGGCAACAGCUCAAAUUUGAAAUCUGGCGUCUUUGGCGUCCGAGUUGUAAUUUGCAGAGGGCGCUUUGGCAUUGGCAGCGGUCCAAGUUCCUUGGAACAGGACGUCACAGAGGGUGAGAAUCCCGUACGUGGUCGCUAGCCUUUACCGUGUAAAGCCCCUUCGACGAGUCGAGUUGUUUGGGAAUGCAGCUCUAAAUGGGAGGUAAAUUUCUUCUAAAGCUAAAUACUGGCCAGAGACCGAUAGCGCACAAGUAGAGUGAUCGAAAGAUGAAAAGCACUUUGGAAAGAGAGUUAAAAAGCACGUGAAAUUGUUGAAAGGGAAGCGCUUGCAGCCAGACUUGCCUGUAGUUGCUCAUCCGGGUUUUUACCCGGUGCACUCUUCUACGGGCAGGCCAGCAUCAGUUUGGGCGGUUGGAUAAAGGUCUCUGUCAUGUACCUCCUCUCGGGGAGAUCUUAUAGGGGAGACGACAUGCAACCAGCCUGGACUGAGGUCCGCGCAUCUGCUAGGAUGCUGGCGUAAUGGCUGUAAGCGGCCCGUCUUGAAACACGGACCAAGGAGUCUAACAUCUAUGCGAGUGUUUGGGUGUCAAGCCCGAACGCGUAAUGAAAGUGAACGGAGGUGGGAACCUUUCGGGGUGCACCAUCGACCGAUCCUGAUGUCUUCGGAUGGAUUUGAGUAAGAGCAUAGCUGUUGGGACCCGAAAGAUGGUGAACUAUGCUUGAAUAGGGUGAAGCCAGAGGAAACUCUGGUGGAGGCUCGCAGCGGUUCUGACGUGCAAAUCGAUCGUCAAAUUUGGGCAUAGGGGCGAAAGACUAAUCGAACUAUCUAGUAGCUGGUUCCUGCGAA
rnacentral:rRNA from 1 species